GUCCUUUUGAUAAUAAUAUAAGGUCUGACCUGCCCACUGAGAUUUUAAAGGGCCGCAGUAUUUUAACUGUGCAAAGGUAGCAUAAUAAUUAGUUUCUUAAUUAGAAGCUGGUAUGAAUGGUUGAACGAGAAAUUUACUGUCUCAAUUUAUAAGUUAAAAUUUUAUUUUUAAGUUAAAAAGCUUAAAUUAAUUUAAAAGACGAGAAGACCCUAUAGAGUUUUAUAGUUAUUUUUAUUUUAUAUUUAGAAUUUAUUAUUUUUAUUUAUAAUUAUUUUAUUGGGGUGAUAUAUAAAUUUAAUAAACUUUAUAUUUUUAUUAACAUAAAUUAAUGAUUAAUUGAUCCAUAUAAAUGAUUAAAAGAAAAAAUUACCUUAGGGAUAACAGCGUAAUUUUUUUUUAGAGUUCUAAUCGAAAAAAAAGAUUGCGACCUCGAUGUUGGAUUAAAAUUAAUUUUUGGUGUAGAAGCUAAAAUAUUGGGUCUGUUCGACCUUUAAAAUUUUACAUGAUCUGAGUUUAAACCGGUGUGAGCCAGGUUGGUUUCUAUCUUUAAAUAAGUUAAAUAUUUUAGUACGAAAGGACCAAAUAUUUUUAAAAAUUAAUUUUUUUUGAAUA
rnacentral:rRNA from 1 species